rnacentral:rRNA from 1 species
AGGGUUUGAUUAUGGCUCAGGACGAACGCUGGCGGCGUGCUUAACACAUGCAAGUCGAACGUGAUUUUUGUGGAAAGCCCUUCGGGGACGGAAAUGAAAUGAAAGUGGCGAACGGGUGAGUAACACGUGAGCAACCUACCUUACACAGGGGGAUAGCCGUUGGAAACGACGAUUAAUACCGCAUGAGACCACAAAGCCACAUGGCUUAGGGGUAAAAGAUUUAUCGGUGUAAGAUGGGCUCGCGUCUGAUUAGCUAGUUGGAAGGGUAAAGGCCUACCAAGGCAACGAUCAGUAGCCGGUCUGAGAGGAUGAACGGCCACAUUGGAACUGAGACACGGUCCAA